rnacentral:lncRNA from 1 species
AGAAAAUGUUAAAGAAUUUUUGGGUACCUUUAGAAUCCAACCCAGAUUCGUUGUAUUUAUAUUCUACUAAACUUGGACAAUGUAAAUUAAAGUUUGAGGAUAUUUUGGGUUUUGAUAAAGACCUAUUAGAUAUGAUACCUAAACCAGCGCAUGCAAUACUACUAUUAUACCCAUUAAAUGAAAAUUUUAAUAAUGAAAACAAUUCAAGUGAAAAAAUAGUAAAUAAAGGUAUUAGUGACGCUUUUUUUUAUAAAGCAAACUAUUCCAAACUGUUGUGGUACAAUUGCUUUGAUACAUUUGUUCGGAAAUUUGAGAGAUAAAUUUGAAAUUAGCAAGGGUUCUAUUUUAGCUAAUUUUUUUGAUAAAGUUGAGAAAAUGACUCCUGAAGAAAGAGGAAAGGUUUCGUUUUACAUAUCACACAUUGUGUUAAAGAAAAAAAGGAACGAACUAUGUGAAUAUUUAUUUUUUUCUAUUUUUAUU